AUACGGAGGAUCCGAGCGUUAUCCGGAUUUAUUGGGUUUAAAGGGUGCGCAGGCGGCCAUUUAAGUCAGCGGUUAAAUCGUGGGGCUCAACCCCAUUCUGCCGUUGAUACUGGGUGGCUUGAUUGCGGUCGAGGUUGGCGGAAUUCGUCGUGUAGCGGUGAAAUGCAUAGAUAUGACGAAGAACACCGAUUGCAUAGGCAGCUGACCAGACCGCAAAUGACGCUCAUGCUCGAAAGUGCUGGGAUCGAACAGGAUUAGAUACCCUGGUAGUCCGCACAGUAAACGAUGAAUACUUGUUUUCGGCGAUAUAAUGUCGGAGGCAAAGCGAAAGCGAUAAGUAUUCCACCUGGGGAGUACGCCGGCAACGGUGAAACUCAAAUGAAUUGGCGGGG
rnacentral:rRNA from 1 species